GUCCAGGAACACCGAGCGGCAGCGUGCGCAGAGCACGCUCAGUUUCUUUUCGAUUGUUAGAACACGGUCUGGAAAGUAACACAAGAAAAUGUAUGGAACGCACUCUAGCCCAUCAGACAGAAACCUCGCUCUACGCAGGCUGAAAAUGACAAAACAACCACAUUACUUCCUGCUCAUGUGUCUAAUUUGCUUUCAAAGUGCCUGUUUUCAUCUGAGAGGCAUAAGGGCAAAAAUUUUGUCAUCCUUUCUGCUUCAGGGAGAACAAGUGUAAGUACGGCACCACAGAGGUAUUAAUAAAGAGAUAGGAUCUUGCCCUGAUGCUCAAAAAACAGAUUCUGAAGGGAUUAUCCAAGCAAUGGAAAAUUAGUUUUUCCAAGUUCAAUCUGC